rnacentral:rRNA from 1 species
AUUGAACGCUGGCGGCAGGCCUAACACAUGCAAGUCGAACGAGUGGCGGACGGGUGAGUAAUGUCUGGGAAACUGCAUGAUGGAGGGGGAUAACUACUGGAAACGGUAGCUAAUACCGCAUACCAUCGGAUGUGCCUAGAUGGGAUUAGCUAGUAGGUGGGGUAAAGGCUCACCUAGGAGACGAUCCCUAGCUGGUCUGAGAGGCUGACCAGCCACAUUGGAACUGAGACACGGUCCAGACUCCUACGGGAGGCAGCAGUGGGGAAUAUUGCACAAUGGUCGCAAGCCUGAUGCAGCCAUGCCGCGUGUAUGAAGAAGGCCUUCGGGUUGUAAAGUACUUUCAGCGGGGAGGCGUUACCCGCAGAAGAAGCACCGGCUAACUCCGUGCCAGCAGCCGCGGUAAUUG